rnacentral:rRNA from 1 species
GCAACCUUCCUUCAAGUGAGGAAUAGCCCAGGGAAACUUGGAUUAAUACCUCGUAAUAUUAUGAAGUGGCAUCACUUUAUAAUUAUAGCUCAGGCGCUUGAAGAUGGGCGUGCGACUGAUUAGGUAGUUGGCGGAGUAACAGCCCACCAAGCCUGCGAUCAGUAACUGGUGUGAGAGCACGACCAGUCACACGGGCACUGAGACACGGGCCCG